GUUGGCCUCGGAUCAGGCGGGAUACCCGCUGAACUUAAGCAUAUCAAUAA
rnacentral:rRNA from 1 species